UCCCUGCCUGGUUUAUGAAGUCACUGGAGU
rnacentral:piRNA from 1 species